CCCGCCCAGGCCCGCCCAGCCCCCGCCCAGCUGCAUGCCGUGCAGCCCCCGCCCAGCCCGCCUGCCAGCCUGGGUUUAGGGUUGUUCAUUAUGGCCUGUAAAGUGUCUCCUUUAUAUGAUUCCACCUUGAUACAAGCCCUGCCCUAGCAGUGACCACACACAUCAGCCUGCUGCAUUUUAUGCCAAGUGCCCUCACCAACCCAUGUCAACUGCCCCCACGCACCAGUACUACUGCAUUCCACUGACUGCAUCAAUGUACUUCAUCUCGUGCCCAAGAGACCAACGGUGGCAGGGCAGCGAGGAGGUCACCUGCCUUGUGUUCCCAGUCCAACUCACCAACAACACCAUACUCAGUUAGCCCUCUACUUCCCUACACCUUGGCACUCUCCAGCUGAGUCUCCGUGCAUUCAAAGCCCACCACAGUCUUGCUCUCCCGGUCUGCCACUGUCUACAACACUAUAUGAAGUCUGUGCCAUCAACCCAAGCCUGCCAUAUGAUGUCUAAAUGGUAUGAGUGUGUCAACCGUGCAACAACCACUUGCGUGUCUGCUGGGCAUGAUGUCUCCCACCACCUUGACACCUGCCUCCACUGCAGUCGGCACAUCACCCGCCUCCACAGCAGCCGCCACUGGUGCCACCACGCCCGUCUCCAGCUCUAGUGCCGGACAGCUUGUAUCAUGCUAGCUCCUGUAGUUCUGCCUCCACUGGCUGCACCUGCAUCCACGCGUGCACACAUGUGAACACACCCUGCACUCCUGCCGCAAGGUGCCAAUGCCAAUGCAAGGCUGCCAGCAAAGAACAGAGUGCUUGGCAGUGCACCGGACCUAUCUCAUGAAGCGGGCCUGUAUGUGUUCCGGUGUGUAGGCCUAUUGGUGAUGCGAACACUCACCAUUGCUAAACACAAUGUUGGAGGUGUGGCGGCAGUCCAGCCAGCCGACCUGGGGGAAGGGGCGUGUGGCAGCAGGCGGGUAUGUGACACGGACUAGAGGUACCAGGAAGUGAUAUAGACAUACAUACCAUACAGAGCUAGUAAGGGAGGCAGCAAACAGUCAUCUCUUGAAGGCUCCGACCAGCAAACACAACGUGAGUGAAGGGGUUGUGAACCAUCUUGCGCCAGGGUUGCAGCCGCUGGGGACCUGCAUCUACCUGCAUCUACCUGCAUCUACGGCAUCUGCUCAAACAUAUUUCCUGAUGGUUUCCGCUCGAGCGCAGCGAGUUGUCGGAAACCAAGGUUUCCUGCGCUCGGAGUGUGCACAGUUGUGGGCCCCGAAGGGGCGUGGCGUGUGUGUGUUUGUUGUUUGGGGCCCAUGCGCGGCAUGGGCGGUGGGCCCGGUUAAGUAGCAGAGCGCUGUGUCGCGCUCGCUACUUUGCGAGUUUCGUUCUGUCAGUACUGACGCCGUCGUCCCUGGCUACGCUCUAUCUUUGCGUGGCUACACGGCGCUUCGGGCUCGCCCUCCCAACCCCGCACGAAGACCGCAGUUCUCUGCUUGCAGGUACCCUCUCCAUGGGCUCACCCUCGAACGGCUCCUGGCUCCGGUCCUCAAGAGCAUGGCGGAGGAUCCUGCAAGUACACAUACACACACGGGGUUGUGACAUAUGGCCGGGCGGGCAAUCCGGGCUGCAGGUUCAAAGCCUCCCAUUCUCAUUUUAACCUGUGGACUAACCUGUGGACUUCCGUGAGGCGUGACAACGGUCGUGAUGUUGAAUGUAUGGCGUUUUUGACCAACACUUCCCCAUUAAAACAUUAAAAGCAGAGCUGAUCAUUUGUGAGGCACAGUUGUAAGUCUCAUGUGAUAGCUGGCUUCAGCUGACGUCUCAGCAGCAGCGUCGCCGAGCUGGUCAACGAGCGGUCAGCAGCGCGAGAACUCGCGUCCCAAGNNN
rnacentral:lncRNA from 1 species